rnacentral:rRNA from 1 species
AACGUAGGAGGCGAGCGUUAUCCGGAUUUACUGGGCGUAAAGCGCACGCAGGCGGCUCCGUGAGUCGGACGUGAAAGCUCUCGGCUUAACCGGGAGAGGCCGUUCGAUACUGCGGGGCUUGAGGUAGGGAGAGGAAUGCGGAAUUCCCGGUGUAGUGGUGGAAUGCGUAGAUAUCGGGAGGAACACCUGUGGCGAAAGCGGCAUUCUGGCCCUCACCUGACGCUGAGGUGCGAAAGCGUGGGUAGCAAACAGGAUUAGAUACCCUGGUAGUCCACGCCGUAAACGAUGUCAACUGGGUGUCGGUAGUUUUACACUAGCGGUGCCGAAGCUAACGCGUUAAGUUGACCGCCUGGGGACUACGGCCGCAAGGCUAAA